rnacentral:rRNA from 1 species
GUGAGGAAUUUUCCGCAAUGGGCGAAAGCCUGACGGAGCAAUGCCGCGUGAAGGAUGAAGGCCUAUGGGUUGUAAACUUCUUUUCUCAGAAAAGAAUUAUGACGGUAUCUGAGGAAUAAGCAUCGGCUAACUCUGUGCCAGCAGCCGCGGUAAGACAGAGGAUGCAAGCGUUAUCCGGAAUGAUUGGGCGUAAAGCGUCUGUAGGUUGUUUAAAAAGUAUUCUGUCAAAGAUUAGUGCUUAACCCUAGAUAGGCAGAAUAAACUUUUAAGCUAGAGUUUGGUAGAGGCGGAGGGAAUUCCCGGUGGAGCGGUGAAAUGCGUAGAUAUCGGGAGGAACACCAAAGGCGAAGGCACUCUGCUGGGCCAAUACUAACACUGAGAGACGAAAGCGAGGGGAGCAAAUGGGAUUAGAAACCCGGGUAGUCC